ACACAGGUCCAACUUCCUCAGCCCUUAACCCAAUAGAGGGAGAAUUAAGGACUGGCAGUGUUAAGGUGAUUGGUGUGACAGGGGUUAAACUGGGAAAACAUUGGGGAAUUCCUCAGUUUGUCUAUUGCCCAAACUCACCCAAACUUGUGCUAGGAAGAGAUGGACUGGAAAAGUUGAGGCAGAAAUGAAAUGGAAAACUGAGGAUGUUGAAACUGCAAUUGCUGAAACUAAAUGUGUCCAAGCAGCAGCUCUUGUUGUGCAGGGAAUAACUCCUGUCAGCAGCAAGGUCCCGACUGAAGUGGCAGCUGCAGUUGUUCCUGUGGUGUGGGCCAGUGGAACUGCAGGAGAGUGGAAGAGGGCAGAACGUGUAGGUAUUACCCCUGAUGUGGGAUCUCUCCUGGUAAGGCAAACCCAGUACCCUUUAAAAUCAGAAUUCCAGCUUGGAUUGGUUGCAGUAACAGCUAAAUUUGCUCAUCCUGGUUUGCUUGUAGGAUGUGAAUGCAAGAACCUGCCAAGAAAACCAAUGUCCAAGAUGAUUGAUGAGUGCAGGACCUGAGAGAACCCCCUUCAAUGACAACCUGAAGCAGUUUCCAGUGUUGGAUUUAAAAGAUGGCCUUUGCUGCAUCUCCUUGAGCAAGGAUAGCCAAGAAACCUUUGCUUUGGCAGGAGAAAACCUGGAAAGCAGGAAGGAAGAAAAGAAGCCCCCUGACUCCUCCUGAGCCCCAGACAGCCCAUGAACUGCCUUGCUGCGAAUGGUAGGACAGGAUGGACUCUGGAUUGCUCCCUCUGGAUGUGUGGCUCUCCCCUCAGGAACUCCAGGAACUCCUGGUGCCGCCUGGGCCGAUGGAUUGGACGCCCCAGCCCCUCCGUUCCUGCCCAGCCACUGGGUCCGUGUCCAGUGGUGGCACUGCCAGCCCUGCAGUGGGAUGUAGCCUGGAAACUGCAGAGAGCUGAGCCAAGGGAUUGAAAGGGACCAAGCAAGGGAGGUGAAGAAAGAAGGAAGAAGGAAAGUGAGGCAUGAGCCAAGCAGCAGCAAGUUGCUGUGUAAGCAGGUGAGUUGUGUUGAGGUUCCUAAGGCAGGCACUGAGGACUUUGAGGGCUCCAGACAGAGCAGACCUGGGAAGGCCCUCGGUGAAGCCCCUUGGAAACCUUGUAAGGGUAGGUGUGUAUGGUAAUAAGUGUUGGAAAAUGCCCUGAAUGUGGAACAGGAAUGCAGGGAAGGAAAAUGAACCCUCCUGUAAUGCUGACCCCUCCCAUCAGCUGCAGGUGAGAUACCUCUGUGUGCCC